rnacentral:lncRNA from 1 species
CAUCAUUAAUAUCUUACCAAAUAGAUCUCCAACCCCCUCACACCCCCAAGUUUGAGAGCUCAUCUUAUAAGCAUAUGAUCACUUGUGGUUUGUGCCUGAAGUACUUUCAACUAGAUUCAAUAUAUAUAAACAUCUCUAAUUCUAGCCACAAAUAUGAAUAUUCCUACUGUGUAUAUGUAUUGAUUUCUUGAUAAAUGACAAAUAUUUGAUUAUGACUAAUUGCAUAUCUGAUAGCAAAGACAAUUAAAUGUGUUAAAAAGUAUUU